CUCGUAGGCGGCCAACUAAGUCAUACGUGAAAUCCCUCGGCUUAACCGGGGAACUGCGUCUGAUACUGGAUGGCUUGAGAUUGGGAGAGGGAUGCGGAAUUCCAGGUGUAGCGGUGAAAUGCGUAGAUAUCUGGAGGAACACCGGUGGCGAAGGCGGCAUCCUGGACCAACACUGACGCUGAGGAGCGAAAGCCAGGGGAGCAAAC
rnacentral:rRNA from 1 species